rnacentral:rRNA from 1 species
AUUGAACGCUGGCGGCAGGCCUAACACAUGCAAGUCGAACGAGUGGCGGACGGGUGAGUAAUGUCUGAGAAACUGCCUGAUGGAGGGGGAUAACCACUGGAAACGGUAGCUAAUACCGCAAACCAUCAGGUGUGCCCAGAUGGGAUUAGCUGGUUGGUGGGGUAACGGCUCACCAAGGCGACGAUCCCUAGCUGGUCUGAGAGGAUGACCAGCCACACUGGAACUGAGCCACGGUCCAGACUCCUACGGGAGGCAGCAGUGGGGAAUAUUGCCCAAUGGGCGAAAGCCUGAUGCAGCCAUGCCGCGUGUAUGAAGAAGGCCUUCGGGUUGUAAAGUACUUUCAGCGGGGAGGCGUUACCCGCAGAAGAAGCCCCGGCUAACUCCGUGCCAGCAGCCGCGGUAAUAC